CCCAACCUUCAUGAUGACAUUUUGUGCGAUUAAAUCCUCUCUAAUGUUACUGUAGAUAAUAAGAGCGUGACGAAAUGUAAAUUAAAAGUACGAGAUAUAUUUUUUAUUUCUUUUUUUUUGAAUGAGCAGCAUUGAACAUUUUUUUUAAGCUCUGAGCAUGCUACACUCAUGCUGUGUGGCCAAAAAAAUAUUUAUUUAUUUUUUUCUGUUUAAGUUUCUCACUCAGAUGCUUUGUUUCUCGUUCUUUUCCCUCUUUCUCUUGAAGUUUUUCUCUUUUUUUAUUUUAGAUUUUCUCAUUUUUCUUUCUGUUCCUGUUUUCAUAUUUCCUUAUUUUGUUAUAUUUUAUUUUUCUUUCUUCUUUCUUUCUUUCUUUCUUUCUUUCUUUUGUAAUUCUUACUUUUUAAACUUGCUUUGUCAUUGCUGAUGACACUUUUGGAUUUCCGACCAUUUUUCUCUUCCCUUUUUAGUUUCCCCUUUUUUCUUUUACUUUCUAACUCAUUUCAUGGUUUUCUUAUUUUUUUGUUGCUAUUCUUACUUUUUAAUUUUCUCUCUCAUUGUUUAUCUUUUUGCUUUUCACAUUUUUCUUUCUUUUUUUUAGUUGUUUUUUGUUAUUCUUACUUUUUUCUCUUUCACUCCCUCAUUCUUACUUCCUCUUCCCCCUUUCUCUUCGCUUUUCUCAUAUUCCUUUCUCUCCCCUCUUCUCUAUUUUCUUCUUCUUCUUCUUUUCCUUUUUUAAUUUGUUUUUCUUUCACUUGCUGACUGUCUUCAUCUUCUUUUCGUCCAUAUAUUUAUUUUAUGAUCAGAAUUUACGCUGGGUUACGAGCAGGAACUACGUUACUGUAUGAUGAAAUAAAUGACGCUACAGCUUUAUUAUUUUUCUGCACAAAAUGUGACGAUUGUUAAAAACAAAACAAAACAAAACAAAACAAAAAAGACACUGUGACCCUGAGGCUUCAGGCACUUAAGGUCAUAAACUGCUUUCCCUUAAACCUUUUAAACCUUUGUACUUUUAUGACGACUCACCUUGGCAAAGGUCAAAGGUCAAACUCGGUACUAAAGCAAAAUCGUACAAAACAAACCUGAUUCAUCUUCAAGCUCUGAGAUUAAAAUUUAUUUAUGUAUUUUACUAUGUAAGGUUAAUUUAUUUACUUAAUGCGUAUAUUUAUUUAUUUAUUUAUUCACUGAAGUGAAGAAGAUCUUCUACGGGGUUGC
ensembl:lncRNA